AUGUCACUCCCGCUCGGCGAAUCAAUCGCAAGUCCCAACCCAGAAAAAGAGGCAGAGUGAAAGGAAAGGGCUUUUGAUAGAGCCCUUUACAGGAGGAGAUGCUCAGGGCGCGAUAAAGCUCGUCACGAGACCGAGAAAGCUCAUCAGUGGAAGAAAUGUGUCACGUUUUCAUGGGCGGGCUAUUGAGAAGAAUGAGGUUCUCAUAUCAGAAUCCCUAUUCAAACGAGGGGAGAAGGAACUGUUAACGAACAGUAGGUGUUCUCUUCAAAGCAAGCAAGACCGGCGAAGGGUUAAAGCGAUUCUUUUGAAAAGAGUCUUCGUUGAAGUGAGCUCCUGUCUAAUAGUAGACAGGCAGCAUGCUCUUCUCCGAUGUAUUCUUUUAGGCGAAGAAGCGGUUUAUCCGAGAGUGGGGUUACUUACCAGAGAGUUUGGCUUGGUCUUGCUUUCUUCUUUGUUGAGCAGUUAUCUAAUUCGUCCUCAUUGCCAAUCUUUACUCCUGCUUCAGACCUGUUUAAAGUCUCCGUAAUGUCCGAGCGUUAG